rnacentral:rRNA from 1 species
AUACGGAGGGUGCGAGCGUUAUUCGGAAUUACUGGGCGUAAAGCGCGUGCAGGCGGGAAGGCAAGUCUGAUGUGAAAGCCCCGGGCUUAACCCGGGAAGUGCAUUGGAAACUGCCUUUCUUGAGUACUGGAGAGGAAGGGGGAAUUCCCGGUGUAGAGGUGAAAUUCGUAGAGAUCGGGAGGAAUAUCAGUGGCGAAGGCGACUUUCUGGACGAAUACUGACGCUGAUGCGACG